rnacentral:tRNA from 1 species
GCGCCUGUAGCUCAGUUGGAUAGAGCAUCGACCUUCUAAGUCGAGGGCCGGGGGUUCGAUUCCCUCCAGGCGCGCCA